CCGAAGCGACUGCGGACGACAUUACCGAGUGCGGGCCCUCGUGGCCCAACCUCCCACCCUUGUCUCUAUACACCUGUUGCUUUGGCGGGCCCACCGGGGCCACCUGGUCGCCGGGGGACAUCUGUCCCCGGGCCCGCGCCCGCCGAAGCGCUCUGUGAACCCUGAUGAAGAUGGGCUGUCUGAGUACUAUGAAAAUUGUCAAAACUUUCAACAAUGGAUCUCUUGGUUCCGGCAUCGAUGAAGAACGCAGCGAAAUGCGAUAAGUAAUGUGAAUUGCAGAAUUCCGUGAAUCAUCGAAUCUUUGAACGCACAUUGCGCCCCCUGGCAUUCCGGGGGGCAUGCCUGUCCGAGCGUCAUUUCUGCCCUCAAGCACGGCUUGUGUGUUGGGUGCGGUCCCCCCGGGGACCUGCCCGAAAGGCAGCGGCGACGUCCGUCUGGUCCUCGAGCGUAUGGGGCUUUGUCACUCGCUCGGGAAGGACUGGCGGGGGUUGGUCACCACCAAAAUUUUACCACGGUUGACCUCGGAUCAGGUAGGAGUUACCCGCUGAACUUAAGCAUAUCAAA
rnacentral:rRNA from 1 species